CCUACGGGAGGCAGCAGUAGGGAAUAUUGCUCAAUGGGGGAAACCCUGAAGCAGCAACGCCGCGUGGAGGAUGAAGGUUUUCGGAUUGUAAACUCCUUUUGUUAGAGAAGAUAAUGACGGUAUCUAACGAAUAAGCACCGGCUAACUCCGUGCCAGCAGCCGCGGUAAUACGGAGGGGGCAAGCGUUACCCGGAAUCACUGGGCGUAAAGAGCGCGUAGGCGGGAUAGCAAGUCAGAUGUGAAAUCCUAGGGCUUAACCAUAGAACUGCAUUUGAAACUGUUAUGCUAGAGUGUGGGAGAGGUAGGUGGAAUUCUUGGUGUAGCGGUAAAAUGCGUAGAGAUCAAGAGGAAUACUGAUUGCGAAGGCGACCUGCUAGAACAUAACUGACGCUGAUGCACGAAAGCGUGGGGAGCAAACAGGAUUAGAUACCCCAGUAGUC
rnacentral:rRNA from 1 species